rnacentral:rRNA from 1 species
CCUACGGGUGGCUGCAGUAAGGAAUAUUGGACAAUGGGCGCAAGCCUGAUCCAGCCAUGCCGCGUGCAGGAUGACGGCCCUAUGGGUUGUAAACUGCUUUUAUACGGGAAAAAACCCCUCUACGUGUAGAGGGCUGAUGGUACCGUAAGAAUAAGGAUCGGCUAACUCCGUGCCAGCAGCUGCGGUAAUACGGAGGAUCCGAGCGUUAUCCGGUUUAAAGGGUGCUAAGGGGGACUUGUACGGCAGUGUUGAAAUCCUGCAGCUUAACUGUAGAACUGCCAUUGAUACUGCAAGUCUUGAGUACAUAUGAUGUGGGCGGAAUGUGUAGUGUAGCGGUGAAAUGCUUAGAUAUUACACAGAACACCAAUUGCGAAGGCAGCUCACAAAACUGUAACUGACGCUGAGGCACGAAAGCGUGGGGAGUGAACAGGAUUAGAUACCCCAGUAGUC